rnacentral:rRNA from 2 species
UGAUGGCGGGGACUCAUAGGAGACUGCCGGGGUCAACUCGGAGGAAGGUGGGGACGACGUCAAAUCAUCAUGCCCCUUAUGUCUUGGGCUUCACGCAUGCUACAAUGGCCGGUACAAAGGGUUGCGAUACUGUGAGGUGGAGCUAAUCCCAAAAAGCCGGUCUCAGUUCGGAUUGGGGUCUGCAACUCGACCCCAUGAAGUCGGAGUCGCUAGUAAUCGCAGAUCAGCAACGCUGCGGUGAAUACGUUCCCGGGCCUUGUACACACCGCCCGUCAAGUCACGAAAGUUGGUAACACCCGAAGCCGGUGGCCUAACCCUUGUGGGGGGA